rnacentral:rRNA from 1 species
GACGAACGCUGGCGGCGUGCCUAAUACAUGCAAGUUGAGCGCUGAAGGUUGGUACUUGUACCAACUGGAUGAGCAGCGAACGGGUGAGUAACGCGUGGGGAAUCUGCCUUUGAGCGGGGGACAACAUUGGAAACGAAAGCUAAUAACGCAAUAAAACUUUAAAAACAAGGUUUAAGGUUUAAAGAAGCAAUUGCAUAACCCAAAGAUGAUUCCGCGUUGUAUUUGCUAGUUGGGGAGGUAAAGGCUCACCAAGGCGAUGAUACAUAGCCGACCUGAGAGGGUGAUCGGCCACAUUGGGACUGAGACACGGCCCAAACUCCUACGGGAGGCAGCAGUAGGGAAUCUUCGGCAAUGGACGAAAGUCUGACCGAGCAACGCCGCGUGAGUGAAGAAGGUUUUCGGAUCGUAAAACUCUGUUGGUAGAGAAGAACGUUGGUGAGAGUGGAAAGCUCAUCAAGUGACGGUAACUACCCAGAAAGGGACGGCUAACUACGUG